rnacentral:rRNA from 2 species
CUGCCUGUAAGACUGGGAUAACUCCGGGAAACCGGGGCUAAUACCGGAUGCUUGAUUGAACCGCAUGGUUCAAUCAUGAAAGGCGGCUUCGGCUGCCGUUUACAGAUGGACCCGCGGCGCAUUAGCUAGUUGGUGAGGUAACGGCUCACCAAGGCGACGAUGCGUAGCCGACCUGAGAGGGUGAUCGGCCACACUGGGACUGAGACACGGCCCAGACUCCUACGGGAGGCAGCAGUGGUCA